CUUUCAAACUGAAAGAAUUUAUAAUCUAAUUUAUUAAUAUUCUCUGGAAAAGACAAAGAUACAACAGUAUGCCUGUUUAGAAAGUAUUUCAUAACUCACUCAGGGGAAAAACCUUACCUCAUUUCGGGAAAAAAUUGGGAUUUUGCCCUGUCCUUAUGUGCUAUUUUCCGUAGUAUUUUUCCAGUAGUACUUCUCCAAAUCAAGCUAGGGACAGUUCAGCUUCAAGUUUUAUUGACAUUUUUUGUGGGCAUGAAAUGCUUUUUUUAAUACCUUACUUUAACUCAUUUUGUGUAUUUCUAUGGGAUUCCUAUUUCUUUUCUGAAGAAAGGAGAAAAAGUCAUUAACUUAGAGAAGUUCAGACUUUUCAGAAGGUCAUGAAUCUGACAAGCCAGAAGCAAUGGAUCCUUCUCCAUCUGCCUUUUAUUUCCAGCACAUUUAUACAACCUUCAAGUCUUUGUUUUUCAAAUCUCAGGGAGAGCUACCCAUCCUGGAGUCAAUUGAUGGUUAUCAGGAAGGUGUUUUCAGCUAUUUUCAAAAUACCUUGCAUCUAUGGAACGUGUGUAUAUUUUUGGGUAAUGGCUACUGGACAUCUCCUUGCUUCCUGGUUAUGCCAGGAGUGCCUUUUUCCCUUCAGUACGAUUCCUUCAAACAUUUUGAUGCUUAGGAAGCUAAAUGAGAGAUGGAUUCCUGGGUCAAAGGCAUAUGAGCGUGUUUCCUCACUGGAGAAGCUGUUCAGGAAGGGCUGCAGGUAAAUGAAUUUCUCUUUCCGAACAAAUGUCAAUUCCAGACUAGCAUUGUGUGUUGAAAUGCUGCCCUGGGGAGAGAAGUGGAAGAAAGGAAUGUUAAAGAGGCUUCUUAGCUAAUGGCCUUAUGUGAGAAAUAGCAUACCAUUUCUCAAUCAAUGUCAUUUCCAAGUCGUGCAAGGAGAUUAUGUAUGGGGAGUGGUUAUCUGGCAAUUCAUACAUCAUUUGUAUCCACAUCUGCCCCCUGGGUUUGGUCAGAUGGAUUUAAUUUUAAAAAUAUCACUUUCACCUGCUCCUCUGCAGUUCGAUUGGCCUCCCACACUGAGGUUUUAUUUGUACUCAUGGAAUUACUGCAUUUGCUUCCUUAAAGCAGGGUAGAGGGGGAUAUUUGAACACAUAUCAUGGGACAUAAGGAAAUCAUAAGAAUUAGAGAUGGAAAGAAAAAUGAAAUUGAUCAUCUACCUGAAAAAAUUGGACUUCCAAUAUACUCUCAUCAAAAGGGGACACAGAAACCUAUCACUUCUAAAGGGCUUCCAGGUCAACUAAAUAUUCUUGAUGUUUAGCUCAUUAAAUAAAUGAAGUAUAACCACUUCA
rnacentral:lncRNA from 1 species